UGGAUUAACAGGUGAUUGUGAGCUGCCAUG
rnacentral:piRNA from 1 species